rnacentral:tRNA from 1 species
GCGGGGGUUACCGAGUGGUCAAAGGUGGCAGACUCAAGAUCUGUUCGCGUAGGCGUUCGCGGGUUCGACUCCCUCUCCCCGCA